rnacentral:rRNA from 1 species
AUACGGAGGGUGCAAGCGUUACUCGGAAUCACUGGGCGUAAAGCGCGCGCAGGCGGCUAUUUAAGUUGGAUGUGAAAGCCUACGGCUCAACCGUAGAACUGCAUCCAAAACUAUUUAGCUAGAGUGUGGGAGAGGAAGAUGGAAUUAGUUGUGUAGGGGUAAAAUCCGUAGAGAUAACUAGGAAUACCAAAAGCGAAGGCAAUCUUCUGGAACACUACUGACGCUGAGGUGCGAAAGCGUGGGUAGCAAACAGGAUUAGAAACCCCAGUAGUCC